UUUCAUUUGUGAAUGCCAACUUAGCCAGUAUGAUAACCUUAGAUCACAUCCUUUCACCCUAAGGACUCAGUUUAUUUCAGACCAGUGUCCUUGCCAAUAACAGACACAAUGAAAAGGAUAAAUGCUUAGUGCUUAAAAUAUUUAUGUCUUCGCAAGUAAUUUUUCUUUGUUCCCGGUUUUGUGUUAAUUCCUGUUGCCUGAGUCCUGAUCAGUUAUAAAGACUGGGGGCUUAACUUCAUGAAUAAGAACCAAACUUAAUGAAAAGUCUCUUUCCUUUAAGGGGAAAUGGGUAUAGAAUGAAUCUUCUGGAUCCAGGAUUUUUAUGACUGAAGUGAGACCUCUCUCACUCACAGGCAUCUGGGUGUCCACCAGGCUUCCCUCACAUCUCUCUCUAAAAAUGUGUAUUUAAUGUGACUAUUCUUCCAGCUCCUAGUGUGCAUUCUAGGUCCCCAAUGGAGCUGGAAUUCUUUUCCAAGUUCCAUAGUCUAGCUGAGACCCUGACACACAGCCUAAUCUUCUCUCCUAAUAAUCUAAAUCCUUUAUCAGCAUUUCUACUUGACUAGUUGAGACCUUACAUGUGUGUCCCUAAGAGACCCUGCAACCUGACUGGCUGUAUUUCCACUGACCAUUAGUAUAUAUUAAUAUCAACCUGGUUUGGAUAAAAAUUUGGAGCUCAUGUAUAAAAACACACAAAAACCAAUUCAUAGGGAAUAAGAAACGUUGUAAAAUAAUUCAUAUUACCUAAUAAAGUCACGAGAUAGUUCUGAAGAGAAGAUCCAAUUUGCUACUGCAGCACAGUCAACAAUCUGCGUACGAAUCAUCUUGUCUACUAGUACAGCAAUCAUCUACAACAAGGGAAGAAUUCUUAGGGUAAAUCGCACUUAUUUGUAGACCAUAAUAAUCUCACUGCUAGAAAAGUAAAAUAGAAUGGUUGUGAGACUUAUUUUGCCUUCUCCUUAGCUCUGUUACUUAUUGCAGGAAUACUAUAACACCAGUAAAAAUUGAGAAAAAAAGAAAAAGAAAAACUCUGGUAACACAAACAUAAAAUUUUUUUUAGAUAAUACCAUUCUCAUCCUUCAAAAAUAUAGGAAUGUUUUAUCAUAAAAAUCUUAAAUAUAUUCUGAAACAUAUUUAAAUGCCUCUGUAUAACUCAUGGCAUAAAAACAAUAUAUUAAUAUUGAAAAA